UACGGAGGGUGCAAGCGUUAUCCGGAUUCACUGGGUUUAAAGGGUGCGUAGGUGGAUUAGUAAGUCAGUGGUGAAAUCUCCGGGCUUAACCCGGAAACUGCCAUUGAUACUAUUAGUCUUGAAUACCGUGGAGGUCAGCGGAAUAUGUCAUGUAGCGGUGAAAUGCUUAGAUAUGACAUAGAACACCAAUUGCGAAGGCAGCUGGCUACACGAGCAUUGACACUCAGGCACGAAAGCGUGGG
rnacentral:rRNA from 1 species